AAAUGAAUUGACGGGGGCCCGCACAAGCGGAGGAACAUGUGGUUUAAUUCGAUGAUACGCGAGGAACCUUACCUGGGCUUGAAAGGGGAACGACCUCCCGGGAAACCGGGAUUCUCUUCGGAGCGUUCUCCUAGGUGCUGCAUGGUUGUCGUCAGCUCGUGCCGUGAGGUGUCGGGUUAAGUCCCAUAACGAGCGCAACCCCUAUUGAUAGUUGCCAGCGGGUAAUGCCGGGAACUCUAUCGAAACUGCCGGUGUAAACCGUGAGGAAGGUGGGGAUGACGUCAAAUCAGCACGGCCCUUAUGUCCAGGGCUACACACGUGUUACAAUGGUCGGUACAAAGGGCAGCUAUGCCGCGAGGCAAUGCUAAUCUCGAAAACCGGUCUCAGUUCGGAUCGAAGUCUGCAACUCGACUUCGUGAAGCUGGAUUCGCUAGUAAUCGCGCAUCAGCAACGGCGCGGUGAAUACGUUCCCGGGCCUUGUACACACCGCCCGU
rnacentral:rRNA from 1 species